CGUAGGGUGCAAGCGUUGUCCGGAAUUAUUGGGCGUAAAGAGCUCGUAGGCGGUCUGUCACGUCGGCUGUGAAAUCCCGAGGCUCAACCUCGGGUCUGCAGUCGAUACGGGCAAACUAGAGUAUUGCAGGGGAGACUGGAAUUCCUGGUGUAGCGGUGAAAUGCGCAGAUAUCAGGAGGAACACCGGUGGCGAAGGCGGGUCUCUGGGCAAUAACUGACGCUGAGGAGCGAAAGCGUGGGAGCGAACAGGAUUAGAUACCCUGGUAGUCCACGCCGUAAACGUUGGGCGCUAGGUGUGGGGCUCAUUCCACGAGUUCCGUGCCGCAGCUAACGCAUUAAGCGACCCCGCCUGGGGAGUACGGCCGCAAGGCUA
rnacentral:rRNA from 1 species